rnacentral:tRNA from 1 species
CAGGGAGACAACAAAAUGUUUAAUAUUAUUAUUUUGUCACCUUAGGUCGAUCGGUAUCUCACGUUCUUAAUUGAUUAAGAAUUUCAUUUCCUAAGUUUUUCUAGGUCACACCCAUUAUUUUCCUGGGCCAUUAGCUCAGGUGGUUAGAGCGCACCCCUGAUAAGGGUGAGGUCCCUGGUUCAAGUCCAGGAUGGCCCAUAUCUCUAUGUUGGGGGUAUAGCUCAGUUGGUAGAGCGCCUGCUUUGCAAGCAGGAUGUCAGCGGUUCGAGUCCGCUUACCUCCACUGAUUACCACCUCUUCCAUAAUCUGUAGAAUGGAAAAUAUUUGAGUUGUGACCAUAUUUCUGAACGAAUCUAGCUUCCUAAUGAAACCAUUAAGAUGCUGGACUCAUUGAAUUAAUUUCAUUGUUUUCAGAGAACCUUGACAACUGCAUAGAUUAUUUUUAAAGACAAUAAGCAUCUUUAAUGAUGCAGAUUUAUUAUUUGUGCAAAUGCAUUAAUAACAAUUCUAUUAAGCUGAUGCUUCAAUUUUGAAGUUAUU